rnacentral:rRNA from 1 species
CCUACGGGAGGCAGCAGUGAGGAAUAUUGGUCAAUGGACGAGAGUCUGAACCAGCCAAGUAGCGUGAAGGAUGACUGCCCUAUGGGUUGUAAACUUCUUUUAUAUGGGAAUAAAAUGUUCCACGUGUGGGAUUUUGUAUGUAACAUAUGAAUAAGGAUCGGCUAACUCCGUGCCAGCAGCCGCGGUAAUACGGAGGAUCCGAGCGUUAGCCGGAUGUAUUGGGUUUAAAGGGAGCGUAGGUGGAUUGUUAAGUCAGUUGUGAAAGUUUGCGACUCAACCGUAAAAUUGCAGUUGAAACUGGCAGUCUUGAGUACAGUAGAGGUGGGCGGAAUUCGUGGUGUAGCGGUGAAAUGCUUAGAUAUCACGAAGAACUCCGAUUGCGAAGGCAGCUCACUGGACUGCAACUGACACUGAGGCUCGAAAGUGUGGGUAUCAAACAGGAUUAGAUACCCCAGUAGUC